UACGUAGGGUGCGAGCGUUAAUCGGAAUUACUGGGCGUAAAGCGUGCGCAGGCGGUUUUGUAAGCCAGAUGUGAAAGCCCCGGGCUUAACUUGGGAAUGGCAUUUGGGACUGCAAGGCUUGAGUGCGGCAGAGGAGACUGGAAUUCCUGGUGUAGCAGUGAAAUGCGUAGAUAUCAGGAGGAAUACCGAUGGCGAAGGCAGGUCUCUGGGCAUGAUCUGACGCUGAGGAGCGAAAGUGUGGGGAGCGAACAGG
rnacentral:rRNA from 1 species